rnacentral:lncRNA from 1 species
AUUCCAGACCAACUUACACCAAGGUAACUUCACUAUCUCAAAAACAUGGGUGUGAUGUGAGACUUGGACUUCAAAUUUCAAAUGUACAUGCAUUUUAAGAGCAUAAAAGCUAGACUAAUAUGCAUAGCAGCAUAUGAAAGAAUUGCUACAAUCCUAUUCAGUUCAAUUACAUUGAAAGUGUGAUGUGAGACUUGGACUUCAAAUUUCAAAUGUACAUGCAUUUUAAGAGCAUAAAAGCUAGACUAAUAUGCAUAGCAGCAUAUGAAAGAAUUGCUACAAUCCUAUUCAGUUCAAUUACAUUGAAAUAAAUAAGAUACCAUUUGUUCAUAAAAACGUUUAGCAAAGUAGCAAACUAUUGGGGCAAAGAAGCAUUACGUAUUCAUAUAGCAAUAACUUUUAAGAGUAGCUUCUAAGACUUUGGAGAAGAAUGAAAGGUUGGUCCCCUAGCAGAAGUCCUUUUGUUAAACUGAAAUACUUGCCCUGUCACAAGUUUGCCACCAUACAAAAGCAAGAAGGUUGAGCUGUAUAUUCCUUGUAUUGCACAGAGCAAGAGCAAGAUCACUCAGAUCAAGAGUUUGCAAUAUGGCAAAUGUCACUAACAGUUCCAAAUUUGAGAUUAAAAAUACAGAAUAUAGUUACAAAAUAAAAAAUUCUCCCCUGCCAACUGAAUCCCACGUUCCCGUUCCCGUUCCCAGUUGAAGCAUACACUUUAAUAAUAGCCAACAGCUCUCAGGUCAUUUUGUUGUGCCC